CGGCCCACCUAGCCUACGACGGGUACGGGCCCUGAGAGGGGGAGCCCGGAGAUGGGCACUGAGACAAGGGUCUAGGCCCUAAGGGGUGCAGCAGGCGCGAAGAUUCCGCAAUGCCCGAAAGGGCGACGGAGUGAACCCGAGUGCCACCCGCUGAGGGUGGCUGUUCCCCUGUGUAAAAAGCAGGGGGUAGAAAGGGGAGGGCAAGGCUGGUGGCAGCCGCCGCGGUAAAACCAGCUCCCCGAGGGGUUCCCACGCAUACUGGGCCUAAAGCGUCCGUAGCCGGCCCUGCAAGUCUGCAGUUAAAUCCGCCUGUAGACAGGCGGGCUGCUGCAGAUACUGCAGGGCUAGGGAGCGGGAGGAGCCGGGGGUAUUCCCGGGGGAGCGGUAAAAUGCGUAGAUCCCGGGAGGACCACCAGUGGCGAAGGCGCCCGGCUUGAACGCGUCCGACGGUGAGGGACGAAAGCUGGGGGAGCAAACCGGAUUAGAUACCCGGGUAGUCCCAGCCGUAAACGAUGCCGGCUAGGUGCUGGCCAAGGUUUCGGCCUUGGCCAGUGUCGAAGCGAAGGCAUUAAGCCGGCCGCCUGAGGAGUACGGCCGCAAGGCUGAAACUUGAAGGAAUUGACGGGGGGGCACCACAAGGGGUGAAUGCCUGCGGCUUAAUUGGACUCAACGCCGGGAAUCUUACCGGGGGCGACAGCAGGAUGAAGGUCAGGCUGAAGACCUUACCAGACGCGCUGAGGGGUGGUGCAUGGCCGUCGCCAGCUCGUGCCGUGAGGUGUCCUGUUAAGUCAGGCAACGAGCGAGACCCCCGCCCUCAGUUGCCAGCGGGGCCUUACGGCUGGCCGGGCAAACUGGGGGGACUGCCGGCGAAGAGCCGGAGGAAGGAGGGGGCUAUGGCAGGUCAGUAUGCCCCUAAUCCCCCGG
rnacentral:rRNA from 1 species